AGCAGCAGUGGGGAAUCUUGGACAAUGGGCGCAAGCCUGAUCCAGCCAUGCCGCGUGAGUGAUGAAGGCCUUAGGGUCGUAAAGCUCUUUCGCCAGAGAUGAUAAUGACAGUAUCUGGUAAAGAAACCCCGGCUAACUCCGUGCCAGCAGCCGCGGUAAUACGGAGGGGGUUAGCGUUGUUCGGAAUUACUGGGCGUAAAGCGUACGUAGGCGGAUUAGUCAGUCAGAGGUGAAAUCCCAGGGCUCAACCCUGGAACUGCCUUUGAUACUGCUAGUCUUGAGUUCGAGAGAGGUGAGUGGAAUUCCAAGUGUAGAGGUGAAAUUCGUAGAUAUUUGGAGGAACACCAGUGGCGAAGGCGGCUCACUGGCUCGAUACUGACGCUGAGGUACGAAAGUGUGGGGAGCAAACAGGAUUAGAUACCCUGGUAGUCCACACCGUAAACGAUGAAUGCCAGUCGUCGGGCAGUAUACUGUUCGGUGACACACCUAACGGAUUAAGCAUCCGC
rnacentral:rRNA from 1 species